UCAAUCCUUAAAGCUGUCAGUUCACUAACACGCUUUGCCAUAGUUAUGUUUAGUAGAAAGGCCAUUUUUAAAGUUACCGAGUUGAUGGAAGUAGUACCCGUUGGUUCAAAUGGACUCUGGGUCAAGGCUGAGAGAACCAAGGAUAUGUUCCACGGUGCCACAGGAAUACGAAGAGAAGUGGUAGGAAGGCCUUCAUUGCUUGGAAGAUGACUAUCAACUCCAAGAAAUUGAUGUGACACUGAGUUUGCUGUGGGAUCCACUUGCCUUGAAUUUGGUGGUUCUCACAGUGGGCACCCCAACCCAGUAGACACGCAUCCGUCAUCAAUCAAAUUGAGGGAGUCCGAGUUUGAAAGAGAACCCCCUCUAAGCGAUUCCGGUUGUGUGACCACCAUGAGAGGGAGUGUAGUAUCUGAACUGGAAUUUCUAGACGCUUGUGCUGAUUGUCCAAGUUUGGACAGAAAACCGAUAGAAACCAAAGCUGUAGCUUUCACAUCUUCAAACAUACAUAAUGAGUCAAGCCUGCUGCAACAGACAUUGUCAGUAUUUGUGGAUCAGGUCUGAUACACUCGUACCAUUCUUUGGAUGAACUCAUGAAGUAGAAAAACUUUCUGAAGAACUUUAACCGACAAGGAGUGACAGACUGAGGUCCAAAUGCAAUGGCAGUUGGAAAAGAACUGAGGAACAUGGUGCCGGACCACCUUUAAAUAGCACACUGGGCGUGGAGGCAGGGCUCGGUCACCAUGUCAAGCUGUGGCAUUCUACUGCAAGGGUCCUGUGCAGGUGCAGAAUCCUAUUCUUAUGGAUCUCAAUCCAGAUCUAUAAACAUUCCAAAGGCACUUUUGGAGGAGAUGAGUUUCAAAGUAGAGUAUUGACCAGUGGAUCAUAGGAAGAACAUGGAAGGGCAGCUGCUGGUGCUGAUCGGAGAAGCUGACGGGAAGACUUCUCAUGCCGUCUGUGGGAUAGAAUCAGCAAAUGGCACAGCCAAUAAGAAAUAGAGCAAGGAAACUGUGGGCUGAUCAGCAGUCUCACCAAGGGCAGGGGAUAUCAAUCCUCUCAGACUGCUGUCACUGCAUAGGACUAUUUAGGUCAGGAACUGCUAGCCCGGAGGAGGAGGAGGCUGCUACUGUGAUGGCUGGUGUUCCUGGGAAGGAGCUUGGCUAGAGAAGAAUAGCCUAAGUGAAGGACAAGGAGUGAGGCUGGAACUCCGUCCCUGCCAAUCUGAAUUGCAAAGGCAACUGACCAGCAAGGACAGUACAGAUCCAGCAGCUUAGCCCCUAAGGAAAUCUCAUGAGUUAGUGUCAUAGGAAGUUAGUGCCAUAUUGUCAAACUUGGUGCAAAAUAAAAUAUUUUAAGAGAUUA